ensembl:rRNA 5S_rRNA 5S ribosomal RNA
AUAUACUGUCAUAUCACCCUUCAGCCCGAGACCGCUUACUCACUGAAGCUAAGCAGGACUGAAUCUGGUCAGUAUCUGGAUAGGAGACCACAUGGGAAAACUAGGUUGCUGUUGGAA